rnacentral:tRNA from 1 species
GGAAACAUACUUCAGUGGUGGAGUGUGUGCCUAGCACGCACAAGCCCUGGGUUCUAUCCCCAGUCCUGCCA